rnacentral:lncRNA from 1 species
UACGAUAUGCAGCCUUCAAAGCAUAGGUUUGUGAAUUUUAUGCCAACUGAGCCUCUUUCAUUUUAAUGCUUGAGUCCUAAUAUUUCAUUUGUCCGAGCUUUUGAGCUCUUGAACAAUUGCAUGCACAAAAAUGAUCCAUAAUAAUUCCCUUCUAAGUCCAGAGAUAGCUGUACACAUCAUUUAUUCAAUCCUAAAUUACUCCAUGCUCUGAAUUACACCCG